GAUCAUGGCUCAGGAUGAACGCUAGCUACAGGCUUAACACAUGCAAGUCGAACGAAGCACUCUAUUUGAUUUUCUUCGGAAAUGAAGAUUUUGUAACUGAGUGGCGGACGGGUGAGUAACGCGUGGGUAACCUGCCUCAUACAGGGGGAUAACAGUUGGAAACGACUGCUAAUACCGCAUAAGCGCACAGGAUUGCAUGAUCCGGUGUGAAAAACUCCGGUGGUAUGAGAUGGACCCG
rnacentral:rRNA from 1 species